rnacentral:tRNA from 1 species
UAGAAAGUAGUGUACAGGAUGCACGAGGAGUUUUGAUCUCUUUAGAUUAGGUUCGAAUCCUUUCUUUUAGG